GGAUCCAGACUUUGAUUCUGGCUCAGAUUGAACGCUGGCGGCAGGCCUAACACAUGCAAGUCGAGCGGUAACAUUUCUAGCUUGCUAGAAGAUGACGAGCGGCGGACGGGUGAGUAACGCGUAGGAAUCUACCCAGUAGUGGGGGACAACAGUUGGAAACGACUGCUAAUACCGCAUACGCCCUACGGGGGAAAGGGGGCUUCGGCUCUCGCUAUUGGAUGAGCCUGCGUGAGAUUAGCUAGUUGGUAAGGUAAUGGCUUACCAAGGCAACGAUCUCUAGCUGGUUUGAGAGGAUGAUCAGCCACACUGGGACUGAGACACGGCCCAGACUCCUACGGGAGGCAGCAGUGGGGAAUAUUGCACAAUGGGCGCAAGCCUGAUGCAGCCAUGCCGCGUGUGUGAAGAAGGCCUUCGGGUUGUAAAGCACUUUCAGCAGUGAGGAAAGGUCAGUAGUUAAUACCUGCUGGCUGUGACGUUAACUGCAGAAAAAGCACCGGCUAACUCCGUGCCAGCAGCCGCGGUAAU
rnacentral:rRNA from 1 species